rnacentral:lncRNA from 1 species
UCCCUUUAUUUCCAUAGUAUCUAUACGAGGUAAAUUAAUAACUCAAAUUCUAACGUACGAGUUAUUUGUCAAAAUCAAGAAAAUUUAACAUUUAUUAGAUAAGGGGUUCUUACACUGGCAUUGCUCCUAUUCUAAUUUAUUGAUGCACGGAUAUUUGCAAACACAAGUAUCGACAAAUUUACAACGUCCAUCUGCACGAACUCCUCUUUUCCCUUUGCAGGCGCUUCUGCAUGCCGCCAAAUAACAUUGACCAUUUCCAAGGUCAAUUGUCUCCUCGCAAGCUUUAACACCUCCAUGACCUGCUGUACCAGAAAAAAAUAAGUGGACAAUAUUAUUCUUUUGUGAUAAAGGUCAUCGACCAAAGAAUAUUUCAGCACAUUUGUACCUCCACAGACGAUAAGUAGAAGUAGGAGAAUAGCAGGCACACCUAAAAACUUCAUGCUGUUUUUUUUCUUUCUUCACAAUAGUGUAGGUUAGAUGUGUUUUCAGUGUGAUGGAUUGGAUUUUUAUAGGCCAAAAAGUUAGUAAAUAAGUUUUUCCCCCUUCAAUUAGGUUAAGGACUUAUUGAUUGCAUUUUUCCUUUAAAAUGUAAGCUGUUUGUCUGGUUGCAUUAGUUAAAAAGAUUGUUGCAAUCAAUUUUGCUUCUAACCAUUAACGACCUUAAAUGCCACAUUAGUUAAGAAGAUUAUUGCAAUCAGCAAAGAUUGUGUUAAUCAUGUUUUAUUUUAAUUAGUAAAUUAUUUAUUUUUUAUCUAAUUUUUGCCAAUGUUUCAAUCGUGUUUACGAACACUUAACCAACUUUUUAUUUACACAUUCUGCAAAAUUCACAAGUACUAACUUCUUAUUCACCACCUAUUUUUACCUAAUUAUAAUUUUAAUCAUUUAUAAACACUUUCGAAACAUGCUUGUAAAUCGAUAUUGUUUAGGAUACGUUUGCCCACCAUACCAGUGUUUUGUGAAAAUUUGGUCUGUGUUCUACUAUUUAUUUUAGUAGUUUAUGUAAUUUUCUAACAAUGCAAAAGUAAUGAAGUGAGCAUGCAUUGUGUCAAUAUGAAUAUGUGGAUCUCUUGUGGAUCCUUUAGGAAGUUUAGGUUCUCGAACAGGCUUGGUACCUUCUAUAUUUUUUCCUUUAUAAGUCGAUUUCUGUCAAUUACAAAAAUAUGAUCCUAUCAUCUUUAAAUGGUAAAUACAUAGAUAAGAGUAGAUGCUUUUAUGAUUGUCUAGAAAUAUUUAAGUGGGGCUCAAAAUUUAAUUUUUACAAAUGAUAAACUUUCUUGGUCGAAAACCAUAUGUGGUUUGAGAAACCUGAAGAGAGAACUUUCCUUGAAACUCAAUUAUUUAUGAGGAAAGAUAUGAUUGUUUUAGCAGUCUCUUGUAUAUUUUAAAUUUUAAUACAUCUUUUCAACGAUAUAGUAAAAAAUGAAUUUAGGACGAUUAAUUAAAAUUAGGGUAAGUUGUAGAUUUCUCUCUAAUCUUUGUCUGAGUGUCAAUCUCGUUUUCGAUCAUUUUUUGCUUAGUUUUUAUCUCUAACCUUUCAUAAAGCAGCACAUUUCAAUGGAUGAUUUCUUAAUUGAUUCUUCCAUCAACCCUUUAUUUUCAUAAACUUGAAUGUUAGCAAAUGAAUUAUCCGUCGGAAUGGUAAUAACAGUCGCCGGCUCCCUUGUCAUCAGGUCACCAACUUCCUUGACUUUUUGACACUGGGCAGGCAUGAGCCCCCACUUAACAUUGAUUGAAGUUCAAUGAGAAACAUGUAGUUAGUCUCUUUCAAACUUAAUUUCAUGUUUUGAACAUAAUUAAUAGGGAUGUAAGCAAAAACGCUUGUCAAUAUUAAACAACAUUGGCAUGAAUUUCCUAUUUUCUUUUGUCAAGCGUUAUUGCAUAAAUCAAAUUAUACAACGCAGUUCCGAUGUUCAUUGGGACCUCACAAGUUGUAGAAUUAACUUCUUCAUAACCUGCCAUAAAAAAAAUUAAAAAUGGUCGAUAUUGUUUAAGAUUUGAAUGUUAUUUAUCGAGAAUGUUAUUUAUCGACCAAAAAAGAAUUCUGCACAUUUUCAAAUUAAAACACUAGUUAUAAAUAUAAAUAUAUAUGUAAAAAAUAUACGUUAACAAAGGAAAAGUAGAAGUAGAAGAAGAGAUUAGCAGAUACUCCUAAAAACUUCAUGUUGCUUUCUUUCUUUUUUCAUUUUUCACUUUUUUUUUUCCUUUCUUCUUUUUUACCUUUUCCUCUUUCACAAUAGUUAAGGUGAAAUUUGUUUACAAUGUGAUGGCUUGGAUUUAUAGGCCAAAAAGUGAGUAAUAAAGGAUUUUUUUUUCUCUCUUUGUAGUAAAUUUAGGAUAAGUGCAAAUUAAUGAUUAAACAAACCACUCGCACUGGUUAAGAAGAUUAUUGCAAUCAGCAUAAAUUUUGAUUCUAUCAAAAGUAUCAAUUUUCCAACUUAAUUUUUUUCAAAUCCAACAAUUCCCAAGCAAACUGAAAAUUGUUGAUAUGAAAAUGCGUCAAUAUGAAAAUUCUUCAUAUAAAAUAUCUCCUAUUUUUUUGAUGAGGUUCGCUUAGAUAUUGAUCAUAAGUAGUAUGCCCGCUCCAACUAGCCAUUCAUAGUAUAUCUUGUGAUGAUUCAUGCAAAGAGGCAUAGGCUCAACUAUGGCAACUAGAGGUGGGCGCGGGUCGGUUCGGUUAUAAAGAGAACCGAAUUGAACCAAAAUUUUCGGGUAUCUAGUAAAUGGAACCACCGGGUCCAAAUAUAAUUAUGGAACCGUUCGGGUUCGAUUUCGUUCAGUUUAGUUCGAUUCAGUUCGGUUUCAUUCGGUUCCGUACUAUAAUUAAAUUUUUUAAUAUUUAUAACAACACUAUAUUAAUACAACUAAUGACACAUUCAAUCAUAGUUUUACAAAUUAACAUAGUCAAAUUUAAUGACAUGUAAAUAACAAGUUGUCCAACAAGAUUAAUUUACCAAUGCUUACAAUUUAUAAAUACCAAAUAGUAGAUACUAAUACUAAAACUUCAACUAUUCAUCAAUUGUUUGACUUGCCAUACUCACUAUUAAGAAACUCUGCAAGAAAAAAUUGAAAAGGCACAUUUACUUUAUUAACAAACAUAAAUAAAUUCAAAUUUGUUCAACUAAUAAGAUUUAAUUAAAAAAAAUAUAACAUAUAUUUUAUUACUUGUCUCAAUACCCUCCUAGGCUGUUUUUAGUGAAAUGAUUCUGAACUCUCAUCAGGCUAUUUUUUGUCUCCCAUUUAAGCAUCCAGAAUUGGUAUUGAGUAGAGAGAAACCUGCAAAACGUUCUGGAAAACCCUUAAAGAGCUUAAGCUAGCUGCUAACUGAUCUUAUUAACAUGAUCAGCUAGCUAUUUCUCCAAUUUAGAUGUUACAUACAAAUCUACCAAAACCAAUCUUAUUAACUAAUCUUAUUAACAUGAUCAACUGGCUAUUUCUCCAAUUUAGAUAUUGCAUACAAACCUACCAAAACCAAUCUUAUUAACAUGAUUCAACUAUAGACGACUUGAUAACGUGGAAAAAGAAAGGCAUAGGAAUUGGGGAGAAAAUGCAAUAUUUAUAUUCAACAUGGAAGCUGAGUUCAGUCCCAUAUGUAGCAGACAUUGGAUAGUAAUAGUCUAAGGUAGAUCUUUCAAGGCAGACACGGAUAAAAACAUGUUUGGCUACAGACUUGACAACAAUAGUCAUAGACUCGUACACUUGACUUCAUUUCUAGAAACUAAUUUUGAGGCAGAAAGGAAUUCAGACAAUUGCGGCCUAAUUUCCUUCUCGAGUUACACUAUGCUAGAUAGGCCAUCCUCUAAUUUCCUUCUCGGGUCUCUCAAGUAGAAUUCAACAAAAAGCAGAAACCAAAUACAAAUUCUUCAACUGCGGGUCUCUGAAGCAGAAUUCAACAGAAAGCAAAUACAAAUUCUCUAACGCUAUUUAACUCAUUAAGAUCAGAUAAACAUUUAAUCCCGUGAAUCAAAGCUCCAAAUAAUUUCAAUGGUUUUGGAAUCUCAAAGACUAGUAGACUACUUUGUUCAAAUGAUCGCUGCGAUUACAGCUUCGAUCGACGAUUGUAUAGAUUUUGAAAUGUUAGCGAGGCUACGAGAGUGAGUGCGAGAGUCGAGACAACGUUAUGCACUUUAGUGGAGGUGUUUAGGGUUAUUUAGUGGGUUAGAUCAUGUUGGGCUAAGAAAUGAAACAAUAAAAUGAGUAAUUGGGCCAAAAGUUUGGAUUUAGAAAUUGUUAAUUUGUUUAGAAAAAUUAAAAUUAAAAUAAUUUGAUUUAUUGAAUAUAAAAAAAAUUAGAAAGAUUCAAUUCUUAUUCAGUUCUUGGUCUAGAACCGAGAAUUGAACUCUACCUGUCGGUGCUCAAUUCAAAUACUCGUUCAGGUAUUUAAUUUGAUAGGAUCUGUCGGGUUCGGGAGAUUUACCCAGCCCUAAUGGCAACAAACAUUAGGUAAGGUACAACGACCUUGUUAUUCAUGAUGUGUUAUUGGCCACAGAAGAAUCUUUCUUUUAUCAUGCUCCAAUUUUUUAUUCUAAACAUAAUUUGUGAUACUAUUUUUCAUUUUGAAUUACUAAAGACUCAAAAUUAUGCUACAUUUUCGAUUUUGUGAAGGAUUAAUUUCAUAAUAGCUAUACUUAAUAAUUAUAUUGUUGUUACAAUCAUGUUUUAGUUUAGAGCAUCAGCAAUGCAUUUUAUGAAUUUCUAUCUGGGUGGUUCAACUUUUGCUCUAUGUGACAUUAAUAUUUAUUAAAUAGACAUUGGAGCUUAAAAUUAGUCUUUAAGGUAUUUUAUAAUUGCUAUGCAUGUAUCCUUUAUUUUAUUAAAAUGAAAAUGGAAUCAUAUCUAAAUAUAAAUAGGAAAUGUAAUUUUGAGAAAAAAAUUAUUUAUUUUAUUAAAUUAAUCUGUUAAUAAUGUUUGAAUUUAGAUGGAAAUCUAGACACUAUCUACUUUUCUGUGAUGUUAGUAUUUUAGUCGAUCGUGUGCGGAGAAACAAUGUAUCAUGACAUUAAUCUUAUCCUCUUCCUAACUAUCAACUCUAGGACAUCAACAACAUGCUUUUUAUCCUUUGUCGACUUCAUUGUUCCCUUCGGCACAAUUGUUACAUCAUUCAUACUCGUGACAUCAUUUUUCAAGUCUGGGGUCCUCUCCGCCACUAAAACCUCCACCUCCCCACACUAGGACUUGCCCCUCCUUUGUCACCAAUGGGAGCACCUCCUUCAUCCUGGGGACCUCGACCACCUCCGUCACAAUCGAGGCCACCUGCUCCAUGCUGAGGACCUGCACCCCAUCAUCAUUGGGACUUCUGCCUCCUUUAUCAUCGAUGGCAUAUAUUCAAAAAUACAUUGAAGGCAUUAUUUGAUGUCCACGAUAGAUCGUCGUACCUCGUGUGAUGGGCAGGGUCAUACCCUUUGUCUCAAGGAGCACUAGUCCCUCUAUAAAUAGCAUCGCUAGUCCCUCCGAGACUCCCUUUAUCAUACCCACGAUCAUAACCUCGAGAGCCUGCUGAAUCGCCUCAAAGUGCUACGACCUCAAUAUGAACGUCUCCUGUAUCCUGUCGCAACACUCCUAUCUCCAUCAUGAAAUCAUGUAUAAACUCCUAUUGCAUCGUUCUUUCUCUUUAAUAAAACCAAUCAAACGUGUAAAGAAAUCAAUGGAAUAAUAGGUCAGAAUGGGUGUAGGUGAUCCACGUGUCCCAACUUCAAUUGGUCCAAUAUGAACACCAAUCCUAACUUCAACUUGUCCAACAUGUGAUCGCAUUUCCCGAUCUAACGUGGGGUGUAACAUGCCAUUUAUCUCCAAAAUAUAAAUCAAGCAACCUUUUAUUUGCCGUAGUACGAGCCAUCACUACUUCUUCACCAUCAUACGUCAAGCCCUUGAUGGGAAAAAUUAAAGAAUUGAGAAUCUCGACACUUUCUCGUCCCUCGUGACAAAAUGCAGCUCAUCGCCAUCUACUAGCUAAGCAACUGAAGUAAUAUGAAAUCAAUGAUCUGACCUGAAAACUGCAUGUCCUUCAACGUAUAGAAGGACCAUAGGAAUGAUCGGUGGAGUAUGGUCUCAUCGACCCCCUCCAGUACUUUCACGUAACUGGAAAAAGUAAUAUGACAUAACUUUCCCAAAUGAGCUAUCAUACUAUUGUCCAAAUGGUACUCUUUGUAAAUAUAAUACACGAUAAAAUCAUAUACAAGAGAUUGUGAACUAAAACAUAAUCUCGUAAAAUUUAACCAAUCAAAUCACAUGUUGUAUACAAGAAAUAAAUUCAUUUCGUCACACAUUAAAAAAGACAAAAAUAAAAUUAAGGGAAAAAAUUUAGAAAAUGCAAAAAAAUAAAAAUGAAAAAUAGUUGAUGGAAAAAAAUUAAAGUAUUUCUAAGAUUCAAUUUUUUUUAAAAGGAUAUAAAAAAUAAGUGAAAAUGAAAAAAAAAAUUUGAUGAAAAGAAAAUAAAUAAAAAAGAAAUUAAAAAUAUAAGAUUUAACAUUGAAAAAAGGGGGAAAUAAAAAUAAUAAUGACCAAAAGAAAAAUGAUUUAAAUUGAAAAGAAAAUUGAAAAUGCAAAAAAAAGAAAAAAGAAAAAAAAAGCCGGCCUGGACCGAACCAGCUGGGCUGGAUCCAUCCGUUAAAAUCACAUACAAGAGAUUAUGGAAUAAUAUGUAAUAUCAUAAAAUUUAACAAAUUCAUUUCAUUACCCAUUAAAAAGAAAAAACAAAAAUUAAAUUAAAUUAAAUAAAAAUAAAUUUUAAAAAAGCAAAAAUGAAAAUGAAAAAGAAUUGAUGGAAAAGAAAUUAAAUUAAGAAAAAAAGAAAUAAAAAAUACACAUACAAAAAGGAAAAAAUGAAAAUUAAGAAAUAAUUGAUGAAAAGAAAAUAAAUUAAGGAAAAUAAAUAAAAAAAAGAAAGAAAAAACGUAUUAAAGCCCUUAUUUGAUUUUUAUUUUUUUAAGAAUCACUUUUUUCUCAAAUUCACUUUCAACCAAAAAAAAAAAGAAAAAAAGGAAAAAAAAAAAACAUCUUUUGAAAAUUAGAAUCAAACAAAGGAAGAGUCCCAUGUCAUUAAUUUCAAACCAAUUAGGACAAAAUAAUGUAAAUCAAGAAUCCUAACGAUUAAUAACAAUCUUCUACCUCCUAGCGAGCCGAAAGAACAAAAAUCGCAGAAAAUCGAUAAUUUCCAUUUGCAUAUCUACUUCGCAUGAAAAGAAUUCAUGGUGUGAUUUGAAAAAUCCAUUGAUGCAAAGAUGUUAGAUAGAUUUUUUCCUAUUUUAUGUGAAUAGCGCACGCUACAGUAUGUCUACAUUUUGAAUAGUAAGGAUAUUAAGAAUGUAUUUAAUGCUAACGGUAAACUCAUUAGCCUAAUGGGUAGGGAUGUUAAUUUGGCUCUUCAGUUCGAGCAGCUCAUGGCUCGAUUUAGGAAAAACUCGAGCCCCAAACCAGUUCAGCCCAAGCCAUUUUUUAAAAAAAAAGAAUGAUAUAUUAAAAAAAAAAAAAGCCAGGAAGCAAUGUUUGAAAAAUAAUAAUAAUUAAAACUGUUAAGGGCAGCUAGAAUCUACUACAUGUUAUAAUAAGAAUAAAUAAAAAUUAAAAAAAAUGGCAGGAAGCAACUUUAAAAAAAAAAAAAAAAAUUGUCUUAACCAGGCAACUAGAAUCUGCAGGCUGUUGCCUUAAACAGGCAGUAAAAAUACGGUGGAGGGGCAGAUAAAAUUAUUCAAAUUUUAAAUUUAGUUGAAACGGUUAUAUUUUUUUGGCCAUAAAUAUAAAUUAUAUUUUUGAGUUUCAUAUCAAUUUUAACUCCGUUUACGUUGAUUGUAGUCAGUCUCAAGCCUGAAAAAAUGAGGAAGGUAGUAACUUUAUUUAAUUUAUUAUUCGUACAAAUUACACAAAUUUCAAAUUUUUAAUUUUUUUUCUAGAAUUUUCAAUAAUUUAUAAUUAAAAAAAAUUGAGCAUCGAGCCGAAAAGCUUGAAUCGCACCUACAUUUUUUUGUCGAACAAAAGCUCGGGCCAGACUGUGCCCAAAAAAACUCACACCAUUUUAUUCAAGUCGAGCCCGAUCCUCGAAUUUUGGCUAGCGAGCUGACUCGACUCAUUGACAUCCCUACUAACGGGACAUGAAAAGCGAAUUUAGUAAAAUUAUCUCUCUUGAGCUACAGAAGUUGCACGUUCCUACUCAUGGUAGUCAGAUGUAUAGUCAAUACUUGACUAAAAUAUCUUUUAGAUUACACUAAUAUGUAAAAAAUAAAAUUUUGACUAUAAAUUUUUUCACAAAGAAAAAGUAAUUGGGCAUGAGCUCGCCUGGGCUAUACACUAUCUUCUUGUAUUUGUAGAGAGCCUAACUCUCCUACUACCUUGAAAAUCUUGUAUAUUUACUGGUUUAUUUUACCCCAAAUUUUACUGGAGGUUUUACAAGUAAAAUUUUUGGUCAUUUUAUUUUCAAUUUUUUAAUUUCACUAUAGACGUGUUCUAGUUGUCAUUCUAUUUUAUAAAAAAAUGUAUCAAAUCCUUCGACUAAUGGAGAAAUGUUCAUGUGUACAGGCACUAGUCACGUAAAACGGCGAAAGCCGAUCCUAGUGAAAGUUUGUGAUAAAAGCAAUGACAACAAAGUUCAAGAUCAAAAUGUCCAAUAGGGGCAAUUUCUCCUCGUGGAAAUUAAAAAUGAAAGCAAUUUUUUGGAAGGAAUAUUUGUUAAUGAAAAUUGAAACAAAAUCAAGCGACAUUACUAACAACAGGUGGAAGGAGUUGAUGACAAUAUUAUUGGAAAUUUGCAUUUAGCAUUCAAUCCCGUCAAGUGUUGCAGAAAAGUAGAUGACAAAAGAGAAAUGGGAUACCUACAAUAAGAUCUUCUCAAAGAAGAGCUCUAUAUUCUAAAAAUGACGAGGAUUCUGUGAUGAAUCACAUCAACAUUCUUAAUACCUUAUUUUCUCACCUUACAAAGUCAGGGGCGAACUCACAUGGGGUCACCUGCCACAAAAAUCUUGAACUCUUUUUUUGUUAAUAACUUACUUACCUACCAGCUACCCAAUUUCUCAUCUGCAAAGCGACCCACAACUCAUAAGCCCAAAUCCAAUUGCACUAUAUCCAUAUUCCACAUAAGGAAAAAAUCAUAGUUUAGUGAUUACUUAUACACCGAAGCAAAUAUCAGGUGCAUAGUUUGAAGAUUCAAAAGUCAGGUCUCUCUCUCUCUCUCUCUCUCUCUCUCUCUCUCUCUCUCUAUAUAUAUAUAUAUAUAUAUAUAUAUAUAUAGCCGUUUCCUAAAAUUACUCCUAGUUCCCUUCUAUAUCCAGACUCAUUUCAGUACAAAAUCGACAUCCCAAAAUUAAAAAAUUCAAAUGGCAUUCUGCGCUCUCACCGUGAAAACCUAUUUCGGCCAUUGACGAUAACGAAGCAAGUAACAGUUAUCACUGAUUUCGAUGAGAAAUUUCACAAUCUCACUCCCAUUUGAAACGUCGAGUCACAUACUCCGAAAUUGUGUUCGGUAAAUUGAAUACAAUCGCCGGAGACAAGAAUAGUUAUUGAAUUUCAAACUACGAUUAUCAAUUUAGUAAUACAAUCAUAUUUGCAGCAGAAGAAAUCUAACAUUAGUCACAGAAGUCCUGAUCGCGUUGGAAAUGGAGUACAAGUACGUGCUUCGACAUAUGAUUUGAUAUCAGACUAUGUGACCAAUGCGCGUAUUGUAAGUAAUGUAAUAUGAAGGCCACAUAUGAGACGUGUGAUAAAUGAAUUUCACUGUGUCUCAACGAUAUUGAAAUUCAUAUUCUCCGUGAUUGACUUUUUGAAGAAUUUGACUUGAGUCACUUAGUAUACGGAACUACUGCGUAUAAUCCGAGUGAGACAAUUGUGUUAUAUAAUCUGUGACCCAUGUGAUAUGCAGUCAUAUUCAUUCUUACAUGACGUUCUUCCAAAAAUGUGACCUGAAUGAAAACACUCGUAAAUGUGACUAAUGCGCAUACUUCGUGUAUGUGAAUUGUGAUGCCUAACCUGUGAUUUCUAUUUCUACCAUGCAUUCAUUUGUGACUUUCUAGAAAACAUACAUGCCUAUUAUUUUAGGAGUUCAUACACAAACUGUGUCAACCGUUACACUUUCAUCACUAGACCACUAACAAAUGUAAAUUUAAUUUGCAGAAAUGCUGUACUUGCACGUGUGCCUGUUGCAUGCAUCUUAAACUUCUUUGACAUUGGUAGAUCAAAAUUGCAGAUAUGUAAACCUUGUGGACACGGUUAUGAAGGAGUUCAAUUUGGAUCCUACAAAGGUAGCAGUCUCAUUGAAGUACAUGCUGAAUGAAGAUUUACCUCCAAUUAGAAUUAGAAAUAACAGCAAUGUGCUCUCUUACAUCAUGCUGAAGGAUAUGGAGCACGAACAUACUAAAUACCCAUUAAUCAUUGAUGUUGCAGAGACAGAAGUAGAUAAACCAUCUAUCACACUGUCAGUUAAUCCACAUGUUGUUGGUGAGCUAUGUACAUUGCAGGAUAUAGCAUCAGACAUCUACGAAGUAGAAAUUGAAAAUGUAGGUCAUAUUUAUGACAAUGAAAUCACAGUUGUUUAUGUUGCAGAUGUUAGAGAGGUCGAAGAAGGAGGGUAUUUCAUGAUAAAGACAUUUUAAAGUUAAGCCUGUCACUUUUCGCCAUAUAGAAUAUGUUUGAGUUUAUGGUGGAACGAUCAGACAAGAAAGAAUAUGUUGUGAGGUGCUCAUAAAAGGGAUGUAGUUGGAUGUAAAGAGCAUCAAAAUGGGGUAAAAUGGAAGUGUUUAAGAUUCGGAAGAUUGGUAGUCAAGCAUGUGUAUCAAAUAUAGUGCUGGGGUCAUAUAAGCAACUAUCAGCUAUAGUUGUGUCCUCUAACAUCAAGUACAAGUAUACGUCGUCUCGUACCAUAUACACACCGAAGGAUACAUGCAGUGAUAUGUUGCAUACUUAUUGGGUUUAUUUAAAUUAUUCGAAAGCGUGGAGAUCUUGUGAGCAAACCCUAAAGAUGAUAAGAGGUAAUUCGACCGAUUCGUUUGGCAAUAUACCAAGCUUUUUCUACAUGCUUCUACAAAAGAAUCCUGGAACGGUCACAAAAUUGGAGGUUGACAAUCACAGUCGCUUCAGGUAUUUCUUUUUGGCACUUGGUGCAUCAAUACACGACUAGAAACAUUGUAGGUCAGUAAUUGUGGUUAACCGUACAUACUUGAAUGAUCACUAUGGAGUACCCUUUUUACAGUGUGUGCGCAAGAUGCAAUAACAGUGUAUUUGUCCUUGCAUUUGGGAUUGGUGAUAAUGAUAACGACAAAUCUUGGAGAUGGUUUUUAGAAAACCUGAAAAAGUUGCACGGGAACAGAUAAGGGCUGUGUUUUGUAUCGGAUCGGCAUAAUAGUAUAAAGAAUGCAAUGGAACAUGUGUAUUCAGGAACCUAUCCUAGUAUAUGUUCGUAUCAUUUGCUGCAAAACUUGAAGUCACAUUUUGAAAAAUCUGGACAAAACAUUAUACAAGCUUUCAAUUCAGCUGUCAGAGCUUACACAUUGGAAGAGUUCGAAUAUCAUAUGCGACAACUGGACACAAUGAAUCAGAAGAUUAGCACUUACCUGGUAUUGUAGUACUUGAAUGUAAUUUUCCACAAAACAUUGGAAUGGUUACUUAUUGUAGUUAUAUGAUAUUAUUCAAUGCAAUACAUGUUCGCAAGCUGAGGUUGGACCUGAAAAGUGGUCACAAAUCCAUAUGCUAGAAAUUAGGUAUUCAACAAUGACAUCAAAUAUCGUGGAAUCAGUCAAUGCAGUUACGAAGACAACAAAAAAUUAUCCAAUCGUAUCUCUAUUGGAGUCAUUGUGACAAACUAUGCAAAACUGAUUCUGUAAACACAGAGACAACGCGCAUAGGACUUUAACAAAGUUGACAAGCAAAUAGGAGAAUGAGAUCAGAAAAAUGAGUAUAGAACUUGAGGGUAAUUUUAAUUUUGAUGAUCACAACUACUCAUAUGGUAGCUGCAUGAACUAAUGUGACUUAAAAUGCACAUCUGUGAUAACAUAUAUUUGUAUGCUUAUGCACCUUUUAUAUAUGUGACCUGAAUGCAUUGUAUGUGACCUUUCCAUACAAUCCUGUGACAUUAAACUAUGCAACCGCAUGUAACCUUUCCAUAUAAUUCUGUGACAUUAAACUGUGCAACUGUGACCUACUCAGAUCUAUAAUUUGUGACAUUUACCUUAAGACUGUGGCUGCUGGGUAGAUAGUGUUUGAAUUGACUUAAUCUGUCCAUUUGGUUAUAUUUUCCCAGGUUUUCCCUUCCAACUAAUCAGUGUUUUCUGCUAGCUGUGAUAAAACAACUUUCGUUGUUGAUAUUGAGAAACAAACAUGCACGUACAGGAUGCUACAAGUUGAUUUAUUACCAUCUCCACACACAUUGGCUGUAAUUGUAAAUACAAAAAAGGAUCCAUAUACUUUCUAUUCUUAUUAUUACACACGUGAUGCAUACUUGAACGCAUACGAAGACUCUAUAUAUCCUGUUGGAAAUCCAAGCGAAUGGACAAUGCCUAAAGAAGUGCUACAUGAAAUUGUGUUAGCUCCUAACUAGAAACGGAGUUGUGGAAGGCCAAUCGAGAAGAGGAAGAGAUCAUCCAGAGAAAGGAAACCAUCAGUGAAAUGUGGGCGUUGUAGAGGACAUGGUCAGAACUGUAGGAGAUGCUCUAGUCUUUUCCCAUUGAGCUAAUAUUAGUCAAUGCAAUACAUUGUAAUAGCACAUAAUAAAUGUGAUCAUAGUGUUUUCGAAACAUUCAUUUAUAGUACAAGGUUGACGUUAUAUGUGACAAUUAUUUUUUUAAGUGUGCAAAAUCUUUUUUGAGUCUAAGUAUUUGUUUGUUAAUACAUUCAUUCAGAAAUGGUCAAAAGUUAUAUAAUCUAACUUAAUUUCAUGUUUUGAACAUAAUUAAUAGGGAUAUAAGCAAAAACACUUGUCAAUAUUAAACAAUGUUGGCAUGAAAGAAUUAACUUCUGCAUAACUUGCCAUAAAAAAAAUUACAAAAUGGUCGAUAUUGUUUAAGAUUUGAAAGUUAUUUAUUGACCAAAAAAGAAUUUUGUACAUUUUCAAAUUAGAACACUAGUUAUAAAUAUAAAUAUAUAUGUAAAAAAUUUACAUUAACAAAUGAAAAGUAGAAGUAGAAGCAAGAGAUUAGCAGAUACUCCUAAAAACUUCACGUUGCUUUCUUUCUUUCUUUCUUUUUUUUUUUCCCUUUUUUUCCCUUUUUUUCUUUUUUCUUUUUUCUUUUUCACAAUAGUUAAGGUGAAAUGUGUUUACAAUGUGAUGGCUCGGAUUUAAAGGCCAAAAAGUGAGUAUAAAGGAUUUUUUCUCUCUUUGUAGUAAAUUUAGGAUAAGUGCAAAUUAAUUACGAUUAUACAAGCUGCUUGCACUGGUUAAGAAGAUUACUGCAAUCAGCAUAAAUUUUGAUUCUAUCAAAAGUAACAAUUUUCCAACUUAAUUUUUUUGAAUACAACAAUUCCCAAGCAAACUGAAAAUUGUUGAUAUGAACAUGUGUCAAUAUGAAAACUCUUCAUAUAAAAUAUCUCCUAUUUUUUAUGAGGCCCACUUAGAUAUUGAUCAUAAGUAGUCUACCCACUCCAACUAGCCAUUCAUAGUAUAUAUUGUGAUGAUUCAUGCAUAGAGGCUGAGGCUCAACUAUGGCAACAAAUAUUAGGUUUGGUACGACGAACUUGUUAUUCAUGAUAUGUUAUUGGCCAUAGAAGAAUCUUUCUUUUGUCAUGCUCCAAUUUUUUAUUAUAAACAUAAUUUGUGAUACUAUUUUUCAUUUUGAAUUAGUCAGAGUCUCAAAAGUAUGCUGCAUUUUUUAUUUUGUGAAGGUUUAAUUUCAUAAUAGCUAUACUUAAUAAUUGUAUUGCUGUUACAAUCAUGUUUUAGUUCAGAGCAUCAGCAAUGCAUUUUAUGAAUUUCUAUUUGGGUGGCUUCAACUUUUGCUCUAUGUGACAUUAUUAUUUAUUAAAUAGACAUUGGAGCUUAAAAUUUGUCUAUAAGGUAUUUUAUAAUUGCUAUCCAUGUAUCCUUUAUUUUCUUAUAAUGAAAACAGAAUCAUAUCUAAAUAUAAAUAAGAAAUGUAAUUUUGAGAAAAAAAUAUUUUAUUAAAUCAAUCGGUUAAUAGUGUCUGAAUUUAGAUGGAAAUCUAGACGCUGUCUAUUUUUCUGUGAUGUUAGUAUUUUAUUCGGUCGUGUACGGAGAAACAAUGUAUUGUGACGGUAAUUUAUCCUCUUGCUGACUAUUAGCUCUAGGACGUCAACAACAUGCUUUUUAUCCUUUGUCACCAUCAUUUUCCCCUCCGGCACAAUUGUUACAUCAUCCUUACCCGUGACAUCAUUUUUCAAGUUUGGGGUUAUCUGUGCCAUCCUCUCUAGCACUGAAACCUCUGCCUCCCAACACUAGGACCUUUCCCUCCUUUGUCACCAUUGGGAGCACCUCCUUCAUCUUGGGGACCUCGACUACCUCCAUCACCAUCGAGGCCACACGCUCCAUGCUGAAGACCUACACCCCGUCAUCACUAGGACUUUUACCUAAUCCAUCAUCGACGACAUAGAUUCAAAAAUGCAUCGAAGGCAAUAUUCGAUGUCUACGACGGAUCGUCAUACCUUGUGUGAUGGGCGGGGUCAUACCCUCUAUCUCAACGACAACCAGUCCCCUCAGUAUUUCCUCCAUCAUACCUGCGGUCAUAACCUGGAGAGCCUGCUGCAUCAUCUCGAAGUACUGCUACCGCAGAAGGUCUCCUAUAUCCUGUCAUAGCACUCCUAUCUCCAUCAUGAAAUCAUGUCUAAACUCCUAUCACAUCGUUCUUUUUCUUUGAUAAAACCAAUCGAACGUGCAAAGAAAUUAUUGGAAUAAUAGGUCAGACUGGGUGUAGGUGAUCCACGUUUCCCAACUUCAACUUGUCCAACAUGUGAUCGCAUUUCCUAAUCUAACGUGGGGUGCAACAAGCCCUUUAUUUCCAAAAUAUAAAUCAAGCAACCUUUUAUUUGUCGUAGUACGAGCCAUCGCUACUUCUUCACCAUCAUACGUCAAGCCCAUAAUGGAAAAAAUUAAAGAAUUGAGAAUCUCGACACUUUCUCGUCCCCUAAUGUAGCUCAUCGUUGUCUACUGUUAAGCAACUGAAUAAGAAAUCAAUGAUCUAACCUGAAAACUGCAUGUCAUUUAACGUAUAGAAGGACCAUAGGAAUGAUCGAUGGAGUAUGGCUACGCGCUCCUCAUCAAGCCCCUCCAGUACUUUUGCGUAGCUGGAAAAGUUACAAUAUGACAUAACUUUCUCAAAUGAGCUCUCAUACUAUUGUCUAGAUGGUACUCCUUCUUGUAAAAAUAAUACACAAUAAUAUCAUAUACAAGAGAUUGUGAACUAAAACAUGAUCUCUUAAAAUUUAACCAAUCAUAUCACAUGUUGUUGUAUACAAGAAAUAAAUUCAUUUCGUCACACAUUAAAAAAGACAAAAAUUAAAUUAAGGAAAAAAAUUUUAAAAAUUUAAAAAAUGAAAAUGAAAAAUAAUUGAUGGAAAAAAAUUAAAAUAUUUCUAAAAUUCAAAUUUAAAAAAAUGGAUAUAGAAAAUACAAAAAGGAAAAAGUGAAAAUGAAAAAAAUAAUUGAUGAAAAGAAAAUAAAUAAAAAAAGAAAUUAAAAAAAUAUAAGAUUUAACAUUAAAAAAGGGGGGAAAUGAAAAUAAUAGUAAUAGAAGGAAAAAUGAUUUAAAUUAAAAAGGAAUUGAAAAUUAAAAAUGAAAAAAAAGGGCUGGCCUGGACCGGACCAGCUGGGCUGGAUCCAUCCGUUAAAAUCAUAUACAAGAGAUUAUGGAAUAAAAUGUAAUAUCUAAAAAUUUAACUAAUCAGAUUAUAUGCAAGAAACAAAUUCAUUUCAUUGCACAUUAAAAAGAAAAAAUAAAAAUUAAAUUAAAUUAACAACAAAUAAAUUAAAAAAAAAAAGCAAAAUUGAAAAUGAAGAAUAAUUGAUGGAAAAGAAAUUAAAUUAAGAAAAAAAGAAAUAGAAAAAUACCAUACAAAAAGGAAAAAACGAAAAUGAAGAAAUAAUUGAUGAAAAGAAAAUAAAUUAAAAAAAUAAAUAAAAGGCAAGAAAGAAAAAAUGUAUUAAAGCCCUUAUCUGAUUUUUAUUUUUUUAAGAAUCACUUUUUUUUCUCAAAUUCACUUUCAACAACAUAUUCACCAAAAAAAAAAAAAAAAUCUCUUGAAAAUUAAAAUCAAACAAAGAGUCCCAUCCAACGUGCAUAAUUCAAAUAAUAUCAUUAAUUUCAGACCAAUUUGGACAAAAUACUGUAAAUUAAGAAUCCUAACCAUUAAUAACAAUCUUCUACCUCCUAGCCAGCCGAACGAAAAAAAUCACAGAAAAUCAUUAAUUUCCAUUUGCAUAUCUACGCUGCAUGUAAAGAAUUCAUGGUCUGUGAUUUGAAAAAUCCAUUGAUGCAAAGAUACUGGAGUGAUUUUUGCCUAUUUUAUGUGAAUAGCGCACGCUAUAGUAUGUCUACAUUUUGUAUAGUAAGGAUAUUAAGAAUGUAUUUAAUGCUAAAGGUAAACUCCUUGACCUGAUGGCAGGGAUGUAAAUUUGGCUCUUCUGUUCGGGUAGCUUGUGGCUCGAUCCAAGAAAAACUCGAGCUCCAAACCAGUUCAGCUCGAGCCUUUUAAAAAAAAGAAUGAUAAAAAAAAAAAAUUAAAACUGUUAAGGGCAGUUAGAAUCUUCUACCUGUUAUAAUAAGAAUAAAUAAAAAUAAAAAAAUAAAUGCUAGGAAGCAAUGUUUAAAAAAAAUAAUUUAAAACUGUGUUAACUGAGCAGCUAGAAUCUGCAGGCAGCAGAGGCAACUACAUUGCUGCUUUAAACGGGCAGCAAAUAUGGUGGAGGGGCAGAUAAAAUUAUUCAAAUUUGAAAUUUGAAUUUGAAAUGGUUAUUUUAUUUUUUUUGGUUAUAAAUAUAAAUUAGAUUUUUUAGUUUCAUAUCAAUUUUAACUCUGUUUACGUUAAUUGUAGUCUGUCCCAAACCCCAAAAAAGGAGGAGAGUUGUAACUUUUAUUUAAUUUAUAAUUCGUACAAAUUACACAAAUUUUAAAAUUUUAAAUUUUUUAGAAUUUUCACUAAUUUAUAAUAAAAAAAUUGAGCAUCGAGCCGAAAAGCUUGAAUCGAGCCUACAUUUUUUUGUCAAACAAAAGCUCGAGCUGGAUUUUGCCCAAAAAAUUUCCCUUCACUUUAUUCGAGUCGAGCCCGAGCCUUGAAUUUUGGCUAGCGAGCCGGCUCGACUCAUUGACAUCCCUACUAAUGGGACAUGAAAAGUGAAUUUAGUACAAUUUUUCCUCUUAAGCUACAGAAUUUGCAUGUCCCUACUCGUGGUAGUCAGAUGUAGAGGCAGGACUUGACUAAAAGAUCUUUUAGAUUAGACUAAUAUGUAAAAAAUAAAAUUUUGACUAUAAAUUUUUUCACAAAGAAAAAGUAAUUGGGCUGAGCUCGCCUAGGCUAUACACUAUCUUCUUGUAUUUGUAGAGAGCCUAACUCUCCUACUACCUUGAAAAAUCUUGUAUAUUUACUCGUUUAUUUUACCCCUAAUUUUAUUGGAGGUUUUACAAGUAAAAAUUUUGGUCAUUUUAUUUUCAAUUUUUUAAUUUCACUAUAGAUGUGUUCUAGUUGUCGUUCUAUUUUAUAAAGAUUGUAUCAAAUCCUUCUUAAUGUUCAUGUGUACAGGCACUAGUCAAGUAAAAUGGCGAAAGCCGAUCCUAGUUAAAGUUUGUGAUAAAAGCAAUGACAACAAAGUUCAAGAUAAAAAUGUUCAAUAGGGGAAAUUUCUCCUUGUGGAAAUUAAAAUUGAAAGAAAUUUUUUGGAAGGAAAAUUUGUUAACGAAAAUUGAAACAAAAUCAAGCGACAUUACUAAUAGCAGGUGGAAGGAGAUGGAAGACAAUAUUAUUGGAAAUUUGCAUUUAGCAUUCAAUCCCGUCAAGUGUUGCAGAAAAGUAGAUGACAAAAGAGAAAUGGGAUACCAUUUUACAAUAAGAUCUUCUCAAAGAAGAGCUCUACAUUCUUCAAAUGACAGAAUCCACAUAUUUGAUGAAUCACAUCAACAUUCUUAAUACCUUAUUUUCUCGACUUACAAAGUCAGGGGUGAACUCACAUGGGGUCACGUGCCACAAAAAUUUUGAAAUUUUUUUUAGUAAUAACUUACUUACCUACCAGCUACCCAAUUUCCCAUCUGUAGAGCAACCCACAACUCAUAAGCCCAAAUCCAAUUGCACUAUAUCCAUAUUCCAUAUAUCCAUUUAUCCAACCCAACUUCUAUGACUUCUAAUCUUUCGAAUUCCCAAUCUCCCUGACAGUCUCUUUUCUUUACCAAUUUUCCUCUCUGCUCCUCACGUCACAAAUCAAAUAAAAUUAAAACCCUCUUCUAUCCCUGCAAUAGGUUGCUACUCGACUAUGGAUAAUGAAAAUGCAUAGGCUACAGUUGUAGUAGCGUAUUGAAUUAUUUUCAUUAAUUAUAUGUUAUUCUAAAAAAAAUUGAAUUUUCAUUUUUGACCCCACAAUACAAAAUGUCUGGUCUGCUCCUGUACAAAGUUAAAGUUCAUAAUUGAGGUUGGUGAACAUACUAAGAUUCUACUUAAAAGUCUAUUUGAUUCGUAUGAUCAGCUCAUUGCAAAUUUGACCAACUACAUCACAAGUCUUGUAUUUGACAUUGUUGCAUCUUCUAUUAUAGAAGAAGAACAAACAUGCAAAAAAUAAGGAUAAACAAGGCACUUAAGUUGCCUUAUCUAUAAGGAAGGAGAGAUCAACGGAAUGUGUUGGGAAAAUUGAGUGAUUUGUAUGUAGAUUAUUUAUAAAUUAGUGUAAUCAAUUAAUUGACAUAAACAUAAUUCAACAAUAAUCUAAAAAUAAGAAGGGAGUUAGAAAGAAAGCAAGCCUUCGGAGUCACGUCGACGACACUAUCUUAAAGUCGUAUUGCCUCCCCUUCGUACGAGUUCUUUUAUCACUACACGACUUCAAAAUAAAACUCAUGUGACUCUCCUUAUAUGAGCACAUCAUAAAGAGAUUAUUGAACGAGCCUUUAUCGAGAUGCCAAAAGUAUAAUAUAAAAUUGUAGAAAGAAUAAUGCUUCAAGUGGUUCUCUCAAAUUAUAGAAAUGACUUCCUUAUAUAGUGUAAAACUUUAACCCCCACAAUAAUGAGAAUUAUCCUAAUUAACAUAUAAGUUAUCAUAUGAAUUAUGGUCUUUUAAUUUUAUGUUAAAACUAAAAAUUAAUAGGUUUUAAUUUUGAAAGGUUGAAACUUAUUUCAAGUUACAACAACCUCCACAUUUAUACCACAAGUUAUAAUAUGUAUUUUACACUAUAAUACUAUUAAUUUAAUUUUGUAUUAAAUUGAAAUUAAAAUAGAAACAACAAAUUAUUAAUUUGAAAAUUUAAAACUUAAAUUAUUUACCUUCCAACAAUCCCCCACAAGCUUUAUAUAGUGGCAACAUUAUACCGUGUAAUAGGUGCAGGUAUCUUUUGUACUUGAACCUCACUUAGUGAGAAUAAUUUCCAUUUGACGAAGCCAUAAUGGAUUAAACCUUGAAUUUGGUCCAAACUUCAAUUGUUCCACGCAUAGUAACAAUUUAGGCUUAGUUCAUAGCGGGUUGCACUGUUAAUAGUCUUGCGCUCUAAUUCCGAUUCUAGUAAGAGUCUCUAGGCCUCAUAGCAAUGGCCUUAUGCGAUCUAAUCUUUGAAAUUUUCCAUGUCUACAAAUACUUCCAAAUACUUUCAAAAAAUGCUAGCUUCACAAUAAAUAAGAAUAACUUAGACAGAUUUAAAAGUAUGACAUUUCGAUAUUCAUCCAACUUCUCUUCAAACAUUAACCAAAGAAAAGAAACUCUAUUAAAUAAUUUAAUACCCCUACAUUUGUAAGAUAUAUGACUUGUAGCACUUCUUUGCCACAUUUGAAACUAGCCUUCCUCAUGCAUAUAGGAUAGGAUAUCACUCACUAUGGAGCAGGAAAAUAUUAUCUAAUACAUGAUGUGAAAUUCAAUAUAUGACUAUUGGUCAAAAUUAAUUAAAUAUAUUAUCACUUAAAUUAUUUAACAAUGCCUUUAUGAGCCUAGUGAUUAUGUUUGUCCAAAGCAAUGAUGUUUAUGUAUCACAAAACAUUAGACAAUAUUUGUUAACAUAACCAUAAAGUAUCAAAUAUGGUUUAACAAUAUUUAUUUAAGCAAACAUGUCUUCAUAGUCACAAAAAAGAUUUUAGAUGUAAAAUAUUUGCAAUCUUGUACUCCAAAUUAGCUAAUUAUUGUAUCAACCAUAAAUUAAUUUUCAAAUAUAGUAAAUCAAAAUUAAAUUAAUAAUAUUAUAGUGUAACAUACAUAUAAUAACUUGUGGUAUAAAUGUGGGGUUGUUGUAACUUGAAAUAAGUUUCAACCUCUCAAAAUUAAAACCUAUUAAUUUUUAGUUUAACAUAAAAUUAAAAAACCAUAAUUCAUAUGAUAACUUAUAUGUUAAUUUGGAUAAUUCUCAUUAAUGUGGGGUUAAAAUUUUACACUAUAUAAGGGAGUCAUUUCUAUAAUUUGAGAGAAUCAUUUGAAGCAUUAUUCUUUCUAUAAUUUUAUAUUAUACUUUUGGUGUCUAGAUAAAAGUUCGUUCACUUAUCUCUCUAUGGCCGUACCCAUAGAAGGAGAGUCACAUGGAUUUUAUUUUGGAGCCGUGUAGUGUCGAAAGAACCAGCACGAAGGGGAGGCAACAUGACUUUAGGACAUCGUCGUCGACGUGACUCCCAAGACUUGCUUUCUUUUUAACCCUCUUCUUAUUUUCAUAUUAUUGUUGAAUUAUGUUUAUGUCAAUUAAUUGAUUAUACUAAUUUAUAAAUAGAUCUACAUACAAAUCAUCCAAUUUUCCCAAAAGAAUGUGGCUCCAAUUGGAGUUUCAAACAGAACAUGCCAAAAGCGAUUGUGGAAAGGAAGGACAUGUCAAAAGGGAUUGUUCGCUCAACAAAAAAGAGUAAAUAACAUAGCCCAUGAGACUUCAAAUUCUCAAGGAUUGAUUGCAAGUACCAAAAAAUAUAGUGAAGCUCUUCGCAGCGAGGCAACAACUGUUGUUGAAGGCAGAAUGUAGUUUGCUAACAUCUAGCUAUUAAAUUCAACAAGCAACCACACAGCUCAUGAUCUUUCGACGAGAUAAAAUGAUAAAUUUUUCGAAAAAUAAUGAAGGUGUACAGUAAUUAUCUUAUAAGAUCGUUUGCACAGUAAAUUUCAUUUUUUAUUUUUAAUUUGGUAUACAUGUGUAAUUUUCCCUAAAAACUGGUAGUUAUUGACCAAAUUUAGGGUUGUCAAUUUGAGCUGAGCCGUUCUAUGCUUCACCUCUAUGGCCCAAUGGCCUUUAAGGCCAUGAGAUGGCCCUCAAUUCUUAUAUUUAAUUUUGUCAUCUACAAUGCUUGAAGCAUACAAACUGAAGUUGUUGCCUGCAAGUUUAAAAUUUUAAUUUCUUAGUUUUGAAAUUAAAAAAAAUGGAAAAUAUAUGGUUUGAGAUCGGCUCGUUAAAAAAGCAUUGUUCACAGCAUGGCUCGCUAUAAUAGAUAGGUCAGCCCAAUUGAUCGACUCAUUAAAUUAUUUUUAAGUCAAAUUUGAAACAAAUAGAAGUAAAUUAUAAGGGGGGCCAAACUGGCCCUUAAUUGAUUCUUCCAUCAUCCCUUUAUUUCCAUAGUAUCUGUACGAGGUAAAUUAAUAAACUCAAAUGCUAACGUACGAGUUAUCAGUCAAAAUCAAGAAAAUUUAACAUUUAUUAGAUAAGGGGUUCUUACAUUGGCAUUGCCCCUAUUCUAAUAUAUUGAUGCACGGAUAUGUGCAAACACAAGUAUCGACAAAUUUACAACGUCCAUCUGCACGAACUCCUCUUUUCCCUUUGCAGGCGCUUCUGCAUGUCGCCAAAUAACAUUGACCAUUUCCAAGGUCAAUUGUCUCCUCACAAGCUUUAACACCUCCAUGACCUGCUGUACCAGAAAAAAUAAAUUACAAAAUGGACAGUAUUUUUCAUUUUUAAUAAAGUUCAUCGACCAAAGAAGAUUUAAGCACAUUUGUACCUCCACAGACGAUAAGUAGAAACAGGAGCAUAGCAGACACACCUAAAAACUUCAUGCUAUUUUUUUCUUUCUUCACAAUAGUGUAGGUUAGAUGUGUUUUCAG